rnacentral:rRNA from 1 species
CCUACGGGACGCAGCAGUGAGGAAUAUUGGUCAAUGGGCGCAAGCCUGAACCAGCCAAGUCGCGUGAGGGAAGACGGCCCUACGGGUUGUAAACCUCUUUUGUCAGGGAACAAAGACUGGGACGCGUCCCCGGAUGAGUGUACCUGAAGAAAAAGCAUCGGCUAACUCCGUGCCAGCAGCCGCGGUAAUACGGAGGAUGCGAGCGUUAUCCGGAUUUAUUGGGUUUAAAGGGUGCGCAGGCGGUCUGUUAAGUCAGCGGUCAAAGCCCGGGGCUCAACCCCGGCCCGCCGUUGAAACUGGCAGUC